CUACGGGCUGCACCAGUGAGGAAUAUUGCACAAUGGGGGGAACCCUGAUGCAGCAACGCCGCGUGGAGGAUGACGCAUUUCGGUGUGUAAACUCCUUUUAUAUGUCAAGAAAAUGACGGUAGCAUAUGAAUAAGCACCGGCUAACUCCGUGCCAGCAGCCGCGGUAAUACGGAGGGUGCAAGCGUUACUCGGAAUCACUGGGCGUAAAGGACGCGUAGGCGGGUUGGAAAGUCAGGUGUGAAAUCCUACAGCUUAACUGUAGAACUGCACUUGAAACUUCUAAUCUAGAGUAUGGGAGGGGGAGAUGGAAUUAGUGGUGUAGGGGUAAAAUCCGUAGAUAUCACAGGGAAUACCUAAAGCGAAGGCGAUCUCCUGGAACAUUACUGACGCUAAGGCGUGAAAGCGUGGGGAGCAAACAGGAUUAGAUACCCGCGUAGUC
rnacentral:rRNA from 1 species